AACGCACCUUGCGCUCCCUGGUAUUCCGGGGAGCAUGUCUGUUUGAGUGUCAUGAACUCUUCAACCCACCGGUUUCUUGUAUUCCGGCUGGUGUUUGGUUUCUGAGCGUCUGCUCGUCCUUUGUGACUGAGCUCGUUCGUAAUAUAUGAGCAUCUCUAAUUCGAAUUCGGAUUGACUCAGUGUAAUAGACUAUUCGCUGAGGACACACUUUACAGUGUGGCCGAACAAGAUAAUUGUAGAAGCUUCCAACCCUUCUAGUCAUUUUAAGAUUAGACCUCAGAUCAGAUAGGACUACCCGCUGAACUUAA
rnacentral:misc_RNA from 1 species